rnacentral:rRNA from 1 species
AUGCUUAUGCUACUUGUAUCACCAGUGUUUCCUCUUUUUUUAGGGUGGUCCCUCUUGUUUUUUAGGGUGCAACAACUGAUGGUUAUUUGUCCGAAACAAAAGUUAGUGAGUAAAGUUGCUUAUUUGAUAGAACAAAAAUGUCAGAAACAAAUCCCAUUAAUGUUUAUGUGCUAUGUGCUAUGCUUUGCAGCUGCUGACCUCUUCCUGUGGAGGAACAAGAAGAUCUCUGCCGGGGUGCUCGCGGGUGCCACCGCCAUUUGGCUGCUAUUUGAGGUUCUGGAGUACCACCUCCUCAUGCUUCGUGGCUACAACAGUACUUGUGUUGAUGCCAAAAUUAGAAAGCCGUUUUGCUCUGUUUCUGAAAUUUUUGCCAGCUGA